UACGUAGGUGGCGAGCGUUAUCCGGAAUUAUUGGGCGUAAAGAGCGCGCAGGUGGUUGAUUAAGUCUGAUGUGAAAGCCCACGGCUUAACCGUGGAGGGUCAUUGGAAACUGGUCAACUUGAGUGCAGAAGAGGGAAGUGGAAUUCCAUGUGUAGCGGUGAAAUGCGUAGAGAUAUGGAGGAACACAAGUGGCGAAGGCGGCUUCCUGGUCUGUAACUGACACUGAGGCGCGAAAGCGUGGGGAGCAAACAGGAUUAGAUA
rnacentral:rRNA from 1 species